rnacentral:rRNA from 1 species
CCUACGGGGGGCAGCAGUGGGGAAUAUUGCACAAUGGGGGAAACCCUGAUGCAGCGACGCCGCGUGAGUGAAGAAGUAAUUCGUUAUGUAAAGCCCUAUCAGCAGGGAAGAAAAUGACGGUACCUGUGUAAGAAGCCCCGGCUAACUACGUGCCAGCAGCCGCGGUAAUACGUAGGGGGCAAGCGUUAUCCGGAUUUACUGGGUGUAAAGGGAGCGUAGACGGCAGUGCAAGUCUGGAGUGAAAGGCGGGGGCUCAACCCCCGGACUGCUCUGGAAACUGUACGGCUGGAGUGCAGGAGAGGUAAGUGGAAUGCCUAGUGUAGCGGUGAAAUGCGUAGAUAUUAGGAGGAACACCAGUGGCGAAGGCGGCUUACUGGACUGUAACUGACGUUGAGGCUCGAAAGCGUGGGGAGCAAACAGGAUUAGAUACCCUGGUAGUC